UUUUUUUUUUUUUUUUUUUUUUUUUUUUUUUACACGAGACAGGGUUUCUCUGUGUAGCCCAGGCUAUCCUGAAACUCACUCUGUAGCUGGCCUCGAACUCAGAAAUCUGCCUGCCUCUGCCUCCCGAGUGCUGGGAUUAAAGGCUUGCGCCACCACGCCCGGCUUCCAUUAAUUUCUAUUAGAAUAAUUUUAAAUAAGAGAAAUCACAUUAAGUACAAUUCUAUUAAUGAAUGAAUUACACCUAGAGCAGCACAGAAAAACUCCAUUAUUAAAGCAAUGUAUGUCAAAUGAUUUUUUUAAAUCAAGUUCUUGUUGCAAUAGGUAUUUAUACUAAGAGAAAUGAUGGAAGCUCAGCUAGACAAUGCAUCUAGACUUUCAGAGAAAUUGAGGAAGUAAUUCAAACAACUUUUUCUUCAUCGAUGUGUGCCAGCUCCUGGGUUUUUGGACUUUUCUUUCCAAUUCUACAACUUAGCAAUUAUUUUUGGUUAACUAUGGAAAAUUCUAGAACUUAACUAAAUUUAUUCAUGUCCCAUACCACUGUCAACUCCUAUUUUAGUCACACUGACUUCAUUAUUCGUUUUAAACACUGGCAAUAUUCUACACAUGGAUAUUAUUCAAUAAUUUAUACUUAUAAACUGUACUAACUGUUGUUUCCCAAAUAUUGAUUUGUAGCAUAGAUGUACCAAAACAUGUAAAGAACAGACCACUACAUUUUCAUAUCAGAAUUCUUUUUUUUUUUUUUUCCUAUCAGAAUUCUUAGUCUGAACUCCUAAAAGUCCAGACCUUAAAUUCUGUUGCUGUGUUUUUAUUUUCUGGGCAAUUCUGCUUUUAGAUUGUGAACGCAGUCUAAAGCAUCUCGCACAUGGCAAUACUGUCUCUGGAUACAUCUGAUCUUAUUCCACUUUUUAAAAAAAGGUUUUAAGAUUUUAUAUAUGCUAUAUCCUUGAAAUCACUUUAUUUUUUAAAAAGAGGAGAAAAAUGUGCCAUUUAUUUGCUGGUGGUAGAAGAAAACAUGUGCCAAGGAGUUAAUUACGUCUUGUGGAUUAAACUCAGUCAUCAAGCCUGGUGGCAAGUGACUUUACCCAAUAAACCAACACAACAGCCUACAAAGAAUAUCUGUUUUUUGUUUUUUUUUUUUUGUUUUAUUUGUUUUUUUUUUUUUUUAAGACUGUUAAAACUUCUACACUAGGAUUGUUGUUCAAAUGGAAGCUGGGAUCUCAUUAGUAUUUAUAUCUGUAUAAUUUUCUCGUUAAAAAAAAAAGGCCAAAACCAUUCAAAAUAAAGCAAAAGAAAUAUUGGAGUUUUUUCCUUUUUAGUAGAAUUUGUAGAUUUAUUUCUUUAUUAUUUAUUUAUUGCUUAGUACAUACAAAUUUUAAAAAAUAGUACCUUAUACUUUUAUACUGACUAUUCUCUUGUGAGACAGAUCUUCUAAAAAUAACAGUUGGGGGAAAGAGUUGUUAUACUGAUUGAAAAUAAUGAAUAAACUUUUGCUUACAAAAAAGAAUUGGCUAGGAGUGUUAUACACACAUAAUUUUAGCACUCAAGUGGAAAAGAUAAACAAGAUCAGAAGUCCAAGGAUAGGCUAAACAUUCUUUAUUAAAUAAAAAUAAAAAGUGAUUUCCAGGACAGCCAGGGCUACACAGAGAAACCCUGUCUCG
rnacentral:lncRNA from 1 species